AGUCAUUAUCUUCCCCCUCCCACAACGGAACCCUAAAGAUUCUUACGUCUUAGAAUUCAGAUCUAAUACAUGGCAAUAGAACGCACAUCCUUCCAACGUCCAUGCUCUAUCCACCAGGCCAUGCUGCUUCUUAUCCCGAGAACAGUUGUACGGGAGCCUGCGAAUCCAAGAACUCACCCACCCGCUGCCUCUUCGGCUCUCCCACCUGCCAGAGGAGGAUGCACGCAGGUUCUACCGCUUCGGGCUUUGCCCUGCCACGUAGCAGCAAAACAUUGCGAGAACUCGAAAGAUUUAAGGGGAGCCAACAAAACUGACGCGGAGUCGUUCCAUCAACAGACUAACGCACGAGAGAAUUUCCGCUACAAAAACCGAAAGCCGACAUUAUCCAAUGGCUUUUCAAUGGACCGGAUAUGAAAUAAAUGAGUAUCAAAACCUAA